UACAGAGGGGGCAAGCGUUGUUCGGAAUUACUGGGCGUAAAGGGCGCGUAGGCGGCUCGCUAAGUCGAACGUGAAAUCCCUGGGCUCAACCCAGGAACUGCGUCCGAUACUGGCAGGCUUGAAUCCGGGAGAGGGAUGCGGAAUUCCAGGUGUAGCGGUGAAAUGCGUAGAUAUCGGGAGGAACAUCAGUGGCGAAGGCGACCCUCUGGACCAGCACUGACGCUGAGGCACGAAAGCGUGGGGAGCAAACAGG
rnacentral:rRNA from 1 species